rnacentral:rRNA from 1 species
AGUGAACGCUGGCGGUAGGCCUAACACAUGCAAGUCGAACGGCAGCACAGUAAGAGCUUGCUCUUACAGGUGGCGAGUGGCGGACGGGUGAGGAAUACAUCGGAAUCUACUUUUUCGUGGGGGAUAACGUAGGGAAACUUACGCUAAUACCGCAUACGACCUACGGGUGAAAGCAGGGGAUCUUCGGACCUUGCGCGAUUGAAUGAGCCGAUGUCGGAUUAGCUAGUUGGCGGGGUAAAGGCCCACCAAGGUGACGAUCCGUAGCUGGUCUGAGAGGAUGAUCAGCCACACUGGAACUGAGACACGGUCCAGACUCCUACGGGAGGCAGCAGUGGGGAAUAUUGGACAAUGGGCGCAAGCCUGAUCCAGCCAUACCGCGUGGGUGAAGAAGGCCUUCGGGUUGUAAAGCCCUUUUGUUGGGAAAGAAAAGCAGCAGGUUAAUACCCCGCUGUUCUGACGGUACCCAAAGAAUAAGCACCGGCUAACUUCGUG